GCCUUCUUGGCUCAGUUGGCAGAGCGUCUGCCUAGUAAGCAGAAGGUCGGCGGUUCGAUUCCGCCAGAAGGCA